CAAAGAUCAGCAAUAAAACUGACGCCUAUUGCAUUGGAGGAUUUUUUUGUCAUUAUAAAUAAAACUAGGGUUAAUGGUGUUUUUUUACCCUAUUUGAAAAAUGAAACAUAAAAUAUACCCACCCAAAAUUAAAUAUAUAAAAUGUACCCAUUUUGAGGUUGAAAGGACUAAGAUACCCUUAAAACAAAAAGAAAAUACCAAACAAAUCCCCUCCCAAAAAAAAAUCAAAAAUCGCAGCCUCUUCCCCC
rnacentral:lncRNA from 1 species